ACAAACACAAACUUUCCCAAGCCCCUCCCCGCUCCAGGUAACGGAGGAAGAGCCGGGGCCACCCGCUUAAAGGCGAGGAGGCGUCGGAGCCCACCCUGCCAUCCCCUCUGGGCCCCCACCCCACGAGAAACUUUCCUCCGACCUUUAAAAGUUGGCCUGGGAAAGACUCGUCUGGAAAUCCCAUCGCUUUAGCCCUAUCCCGGGACACCCCGCGUUCCAUCACGCUGGAGUCACCCACGCGUGUCUAGUCUAUCCUCAGCCAACUCCCCGCUCGUUCGGCCUCUCGUCCUGAGCUAAACACCCCACCAACCAGCCGCUUGGCCUAUGCCAAAAAUUAUGCAGAUAGGAGCGAAGGAGCUGAAAGGACUUUUAAAGGCCACGGAUUCCAACCUCUACCAUACAGAGGCCUUAAGUGUUUCGGUGAGGUGCCCAAGGAUUCACAGGGAAGGGGCAAAAUCAGAACCCCGCUCUCCUGACUCUGCCCACUCCCCGGUGGCUAGGGUGGGCCUGUCUCCUUCCUUACCCAGCUCCCUCCCUCUCCUCGGCGCCUGUGGCACUGAUUAGAACAGCACCCCACAAAGACACCCAUUUAAAAAACAAACAAAACCCAAGUGUAUUAAUAGCUAUAGUACUUCAUAUAGAAUGUACUCUUAAGACUUAAUAUUUAUUGCUCUAAGUGGACACCACUGAUUGCCAAUAAAGACUCAU
rnacentral:lncRNA from 1 species